GAGUUGAGAGAGAGGUUUUAUUGGUUUCUUCUCCUCUCUCUCUUUCUAGACCUGAUCGUGAGCAAGGAGGAGCCGGGUGGAGUUCGGGUGUUGUCGACGUCGCACCGCGGUGCUGUUCGGGCAUGUAUUCGUCGUCGUGGUGCUGAGAGGAGGCUUGAUGAGCGUGGAUUUUCGCUGUCGUCGACGUUGUGCCGUUUCUAGAUGGGUUUUCGAGGUGAGUGAUCUAUCG
rnacentral:lncRNA from 1 species